GAUGAACGCUGGCGGCGUGCCUAAUACAUGCAAGUCGAGCGAACGGACGAGAAGCUUGCUUCUCUGAUGUUAGCGGCGGACGGGUGAGUAACACGUGGAUAACCUACCUAUAAGACUGGGAUAACUUCGGGAAACCGGAACUAAUACCGGAUGAUAUUUUGAACCGCAUGGUUCAAAAGUGAAAGACGGUCUUGCUGUCACUUAUAGAUGGAUCCGCGCUGCAUUAGCUAGUUGGUAAGGUAACGGCUUACCAAGGCAACGAUGCAUAGCCGACCUGAGAGGGUGAUCGGCCGCACUGGAACUGAGACACGGUCCAGACUCCUACGGGAGGCAGCAGUAGGGAAUCUUCCGCAAUGGGCGAAAGCCUGACGGAGCAACGCCGCGUGAGUGAUGAAGGUCUUCGGAUCGUAAAACUCUGUUAUUAGGGAAGAACAUAUGUGUAAGUAACUGUGCACAUCUUGACGGUACCUAAUCAGAAAGCCACGGCUAACUACGUG
rnacentral:rRNA from 1 species